CCUACGGGCGGCAGCAGUGAGGAAUAUUGGUCAAUGGGAGGAAUCCUGAACCAGCCAUGCCGCGUGCAGGACGACGGCUCUACGAGUUGUAAACUGCUUUUGUACCGGGGUAAAAUGCUCUACGAGUAGGGUUUGGAAAGUACGGUACGAAUAAGGAUCGGCUAACUCCGUGACAGCAGCCGCGGUAAUACGGAGGAACCGAGCGUUAUCCGGAUUCAUUUGGGUUAAAGGGUGCGUAGGUUGUUUUAUAAGUUAGCGGGUAAAUACCGAUGCUCAACAGCGGGGCUGCCGCUGAUACUGUAGGACUAGAGAUCGGAUGCAGCAGGCGGAAUGUGUAGUGUAGCGGUGAAAUGCAUAGAUAUUACACAGAACACCGAUUGCGAAGGCAGCUUGCUAGGCCGGAUCUGACACUGAUGCACGAAAGCGUGGGGAUCGAACAGGAUUAGAUACCCUGGUAGUC
rnacentral:rRNA from 1 species